rnacentral:tRNA from 3 species
GGAGAGUUGACCGAGAGGCCGAAGGUGCUCGCCUGCUAAGUGAGUAUGCCCCACAAGGGCAUCUAGGGUUCGAAUCCCUAACUCUCCGCCA